UAUAAAGGAAAAAAUAAAUAUUAUUACGAAUUAUCUAUAAUAUUUCCAAAAUCUUAUGAUCACUAGCUAAUCGAUCGAUAAUUCUGAUUUAGCUAAUCACAUUUGCUAAAUCAGAAUUAUCGAAGUAAAAAAACAAAGAAAUCUUUUUGUAUAUAUUUUUCUAAUGAAUACAAAAGAAGCGUAGUUUGUAGCUUUGCUGCACAUUCCUGUCACGUGUUAUAUAGCUGGGAGAAUCCCAGGGAAGAAAGAGAGAGUGAGAGAGAGAGAGAGAGAAAGAGAAGCAAUGGAAAAUUCUUUCGUCCCAAACGACCGUCAUUCUAAUACAUGCACUCUUGAGUAUUCGUCUGUGAAAACGAGGGAGUGUAAGUUCGGGUCUCUUUUGAAAUCACUUAUGUAUCACGUGACAAAACCCUCGAGUGGACCAAUCAGAGCGAACACCAUGAAACGAUCACGUGCUCGGUUAGUGUUUGCUUUGUGAAAGUUUCUUCCUUUCUUCGUUAUUUGGAAUACACAGAUUAAAUGUAUGUAUAUAUGUACGUGUGAUGAAACUUUCGUAUCGAAAAAUCAGAGCGAACACCAUGGAACGAUCACGUGCUUGAUUUGUGUUUCUUUUUUGUAUGGAUUCUUUCUUUUUUAUUCGUACGGCACACAGAUAUUAUUAUCUUUUAGGAAAUAUUUAUUUUAAAUUCAAUGUAUAUAUAUACGUAUAAUGAACUCUCCUCAAGUGUAAAAAUUAGAGCAAACAUUGCGGCAAAUUAUAUGUGUAUAUUUCUUUACGAACGUUUCUUUCUUUAUUCGUUCGACAGGUAAUUAAUACAUUUUUCCAAAAAUAUUUAUUUCAACAAAUCGAACACAAUGUUUUCAUUUUUUGCUUUAUUCUUUUAUUUCUUUUUCUUUUUAAUUCUUUUUUUUAUAGGUUCACGUUUAAUUCAGAUCUAUAUUUUAUACGCUUUAUUUGCCUACUUCUCGAACUUUCGUUUAAUAUUUAUUAUUUUUCUUUUUUUUUUUUUCUUUUUUUUUCAAUAAUGUCCAUGAUAUGCAUUAUCAUAUCUUUCAAUAACCGAAAGAAAUAUUUAAUAUACCAAAGUAUUUAGAUAAAAGUGUUAAGAGAGAGAAAGAGAAAGAGAGAGAGAGAGAGAGAGAGAGAGAGAGAGAUAGAGAGAGAGAGAGGAUAUAAGUUCAUAGUGCAAAUUUGAUCUUGAAACUUUGUUUGUCAAUUAUAAAAGACUAAGAAGAAGAAAGAGGAGAAAUUUAAUUAGUAUUAAUGUUUGAUCUAUCGUGACUAAUGUUUAAUGUUUCAAGUUUUGAAUUUUACUGAUAAAAUAAUUACAUUACAUUUUAUUAUAGAUUAUUUGGAUUAACAUUCCUAUUUACUUGAAAUAAAUCGUUGAUUAUUUUAAUGAUGCGACAUUAAUUAUUGAUAUUAUUUUAUUUCUUUUUCCUUCUGAUUUUUACGUUAAAAAAUUAUGAUUAUGAAUCUUAAAAAAGGUAUACGUAUGCUUUUAUACAUAACACAUUGAUAAUCUACAUCUAACGCUAUCAAUUCUCUGGGUCAUGCAUUUUACGAAUUAAAAUCAAGUACAUUUGUACUUACCGACAAAGAAAAGAAAAAAAAGAUCGUUUAAAUUAUGAGAACUUAUCACUUUUGAGUUGGUCAAAUGCAUUCAUCGUUCAUCGUUAACCGUUUAGACCUUAAGACCUAUAUAAAUACAAAGUUCAAGUUUAACAGAUUUCGUUCAAAUUUAUGAUCUUUUAAAAUACUAUCGCGUGCUUCGACUCUCGUCCGAAUAUGAAUAUAUAUGCGUGUAUGUGUAUUUAGAGCAUACUUAAUUAAUAUAUUCACGGAUAAUUAAGACAAGCCUUCAGAAAUUUGUCAGUAUAAUAUGACAAGCCGUUCUAAGUAAUUCUCUCUUUAAGCAAUGCUUACAAUGUAGAAUUUUAGAUAAUGUAUUAGAGUUACUGUUUAUUUUUCUCGAGUUUACAAUUUAUUUGUGCUAUUGAUUGCUUAAUUUUAAAUUCAAAAGUGAUCGCAUCAAAGAAUACGAGAAAGUGUAAGUGAGAUAAAUAGAUAGAUAGAUACAUAAAUAGAUACAUAAAUAGAUAGAUAGAGAGAGAGAGAGAGAGAGAGAGAGAGAGAGAAAGAGAGAGAGAGAAAAAGAGAGAGAGAGAGAAAGAGAGAUAAACAGGUUAGUUCAAUUUUCAUUUAGUUUCAUUUAAUUAUCAUUAAAUCAGAUCGAAUUAAAUGAUCUCGAGUUCAUCCUAAAUAAUAAAAAUUGGACUUUAGUUUCUGUUGAUUAUUGUUUUGUUACAUUUUAUGAUAGUCUACGUAUAUCAUUUCCCCUUCUUCCUCCAUAGAUUUAUACUUAUAUAUAGAAUCAGUAUAUACGGACUAUGAAUACCCUCUGUGGCAGUGGUUCCCAACCUUUUUCGACUUGCAUAACAUUCGGCAAUUAAUUUCCUUUAAUUUUAUCACGUAAUAAUAUUAGACGAAUUUUUAUAUUCUGUAGAUUACAUAUCUCAGAUUGGGAACCACUACUUCAUGGAAAUCAAUGGUACUAAAAAUUACAAAAUUGAAGUCAAUAUUUGUUGCUAUAAAUAUUUUUAAUUUUUACUUUCCGAAAGCAAAAUCACAGCUACAUAAGAUGUGGUUCGCGCGAUAAUCGUUAAUAAUAAUAAUAAUAAUAAUAAUAUAAUUAUUAACCUAAUAUAAUAUAAUAUAAUAUUAAUAUAAUAAUAAUAAUAAUAAUAAUAAUAAUAAUAAUAAUUAUAA